rnacentral:rRNA from 1 species
CCUACGGGUGGCAGCAGUCGAGAAUCAUUCACAAUGGGGGAAACCCUGAUGGUGCGACGCCGCGUGGGGGAAUGAAGGUCUUCGGAUUGUAAACCCCUGUCAUGUGGGAGCAAAUUAAAAAGAUAGUACCACAAGAGGAAGAGACGGCUAACUCUGUGCCAGCAGCCGCGGUACUACAGAGGUCUCAAGCGUUGUUCGGAAUCACUGGGCGUAAAGCGUGCGUAGGCUGUUUCGUAAGUCGCGUGUGAAAGGCGCGGGCUCAACCCGCGGACGGCACAUGAUACUGCGAGACUAGAGUAAUGGAGGGGGAACCGGAAUUCUCGGUGUAGCAGUGAAAUGCGUAGAUAUAGAGAGGAACACUCGUGGCGAAGGCGGGUUCCUGGACAUUAACUGACGCUGAGGCACGAAGGCCAGGGGAGCGAAAGGGAUUAGAUACCCCAGUAGUC